AGCUUUGUGCAGUGGCAGUAUCAUAACCAAUGAGGUUUAUCUGAGGCACGAUUAUUGCUAUUUUUAAUAUUAUCUAUAUACUUCCUUUUUUUUCCUUUAGGUAACUCUUGCAAGAGUUUUCUAUUU
rnacentral:snRNA from 1 species